rnacentral:lncRNA from 1 species
AGCAGCCAUAUUAGAGUGAAGAGGCCUGGUUGUGGAGGGCUGUGCGCUCAGCGUGGAAUUAUAGCAGUUCAUUUUCUAAAGUGCCACGAGACCUGGGGAUGAACCUUCCGAGAGAAGGGAAAACCACAACAGCAGUCCCCUCGUAGAGAUGCAAUUCAUCAUGGGCAGGACGGCUGGGUCUGUCAACAGGAAGGGCUCUUUUCCCUGUGACGCACAAAAGCAAUCCCACGGGCUCUGUGUUGCAGCAAGAGGACCCUGAACUCCCUCAGACACCCUGGCUGUGUGCAGGGAGCCUCCGAAAUCCAGAGACGGGAGGCAUGCAUCGCCAUGUGAGCACCGAGCGGAGGCAUAAUGGGACUCCAGUUCCUAUGCCCCCACCAUAUUUUCUCUCUAAUUAAGAGUGGGGAUAGUUUGUGGUGAGGGUAGUUUGCAGUGGGAGUGAGACCCAUUUAUUUUGUUUCUUGUUAUUUUUUCAUUGAGAUGUAACUUAGAAGUAGUCUCAGGAAUAAGAGGGACACUUUUGCUUCCUGGUAAACAGAGGCUAGCAGUCUACUAAUAACCUGGCUAAGAGACCAGGCAAGGUAGCAGCUGCCAUCCUGAACACCACUGCAUCAGCUCAGCCACCUCCCAGGAGUGAGUCCAGCCAGGAGUGAGACCUUGUGACCCCACAGAGCCCACAAUACCCCACAAUGGAGCAGGGAGCACCAGCCGGAACUCACCCCUGCUGCCAUUCCUCCUCCUACCAGCAAGCCUCUAGCGACAUCUCUGAACAUGGUCUCUCCCUGCUCACACUCAGCUAUGCAGAGCGGGAAAAGGUACAACCUUCAGAACGUUCUGCUUAGCUACUACGCUCUAACCCGGUGGAUAAAGGAUAACCAGCAUCCCCUGUCAGGACACAGGGAGCUGUCCUGCAGAGCUGGCUCUACAUCAGAUCUGAUCUGAAUGCACUUGUUCUAAAACGCUUCAUCAAAAGAUUAACUGCAUGCUCUUCCUUCAGCGUUUCCUGUCCAAAACAAGCACUGGGGAUUCUGAGGAACCUCUGAGGAGCACCCUGCCUUUACUUGCAGUUCUUCCAGAGUUCUCUGCCUCCUCCCUUAUGGAGCCUUGGCUUUCCACAGACGAUGGAAUGUUUGUCUGAUGCUGGGCAAAGAAGAUUAAUGACAAGGUAAUGAGAGUUUCUAUUUAUGCCAGCUCCUUUGUCUGAGUUCCCAGCCUGGGAACUCUAAACCAUCCAGCCACCCACCAGGCCUCAGGAGACAGUUCUUCAGGCAGUGUUGGUGAGCUCUGUGGUGUCACAGCAAGAUCGCUUUGUCUUUCACUCCUGACCACGAUGUGCAUUUUGUAAGAAGGAAGCUUGCUUGAGGCACAAGAUUCGGGACUGGCUCCACUUGCUAAGUUGGUUUUGGUUUUGCACAGACAAAGUUUUUUAACUUGCUAGACAUUUUCAACAUCAUCCACAGUUUGAUUCCAGAUUCCACAGCUAAGCCUUGAGAGUCUAAAGCGCCUCUUAUUUUGAAGACCAGCAUUGAAGAAAGAGCAGAUGGGAUGUGGUAAGGGGCACGGUCAUGAUGGCAGAGCUGGAGGAGAAGAAGGUGUGACCAGGACCUUCCCUGUACCGGAUGGAGAGCUAAGCUGCGGCCGAGUGUCCCAUGGUGAAGCUAGCUUCAUGUUCUUCCCCUGCCCAGGUCUCUCAGCAAGGAAGCCCUCUAGGCCUCAGUGCUUGCAGCAAUACCAUUUGGAGUCAAUGCUCCAGUUCUGGAAAUUCUCUUCAUUCACAGGGCAUGUACAGGAGGUAGGACACACAGGCGAGAAAAUCAGGCAUUAGGCCUAAAAUCUUACAUAUCAACUGUUCCUUGUUUUCUCAUUUUUUGCUUGAUUUCCAAGGGCAUCAGUGACUGAAGAAGUUAAACUUCCUAGACAAAAUUGAAAGUUUAAAAAUGUCUACACUCCUGCUGUUUCUCCCUUUGUGAGAAAUGCUUUAUGCUGGUCAUCAAAAUGCCUAGAGUCCAGGGGUGAUUUGGGCUGAACAUUUGCAUCCCCCCAAAAUCUAUAUGCUGAAGCCUCAACCCCAUGUGUAGCUAUACUUGGAAAUGGGGCAUCUAAGAAAGUAAUUAAGGUUAAAUGAGGUCGUAAGGGUGGGGUCCUGACCCCAUAGGAUUAAUGUCUUUAUAAGAAGAGACACCAGAGAUGGUUGUCUCUCUCCCCAGGUACGCACCAUGGGAAAGCACAAUGAGAAGGCAGCCAUCUGUAAAGAAGAGUGCCCAUACUGGGUUCUGAUCCUGCUGACUCCCUAAUCGUGGACUUCCGGUCUCCAGAACUAUUGUUUAAGCCACCCAGUCUCUAAUAUUGUGUUAUGAAAGCUCAAGUAGACAAAUGCAAAGAGCCCAGAUAUCAUCCUCUAGCCUUCCUUCCCAAACUCACCUGUCUUAGAUUCUAUUCCAUUAGUUCCAGUGUAACAAACUGAUUCAUACUGAUCUAAUAAUCAGGAACAAAUUUCAUCAUCCCCUCAGAGACAUGGUGGGAAAUGAGGCUUUUGAUGCCCAGCCAAUAAAACAACCUAGCAGCCACUUACUUGUCCCUCCAUUUCUUUGCGGCAUUGGCUGGUGUUCAGGCUGGCUCGAAUUACCAAAUAAGGAGAGGGAAUGGAAGAGGAGACAAUGGGAAAUGAAAGGCAGUAGACAGAUUUUGAAAAUGUUCACUUUUAUGCAUGUAUUAUGAGCCUAUACUUUGCUGCUAGUAGGGAAAUAAAAAUGAGUAAGAUAUUUCUUCUAUCCCUAAGCCCAACGUUUAAAGAAAUCAAACCUAGUGAAAGUGAAAAACACUAAGUCAUUGUCACAUUUUAUUUUUUUCUAGUAUCUAAAAAACUGGGCUUACAACAAUCUGGUUUUAUAAUUUUCUUAUUUAAAAAUUAUUUUGUUCAAUUUUUUUAAGUGUUCAGGGACAAAGCGGGGUGGAUUUCCUUAAAAAAUACUACUUGGCAAAAAGCCAGAAUUGGCUAAUAAGAAAUUUUCAGAAUUCUGAAUAGCGUACACUACAUAUAGGCAAUAAUAGACAUAAGCUGAGAGAACAGUCGUAAGAGCUCAGCCACCAGGGAAAUGGAUUUCUGAUUGGCAGGACAUUGUUCUAGGAUUUUGACUCUGGAAGUCAGUCUAUUGUGGAGAUUUUAUUUCUUCCUUUUUCCCCGUUUUCUUUCUUUCUCUCCCUCUUUCCUAUUAUCCUCUCUUUUUUCUCCCUUCUUCUUAUUUUUGGACAUUUAAAAUAGCAAAUCCUAGAAUGAUUUUCUUUUAUUAAUGACUUGGCCCCGUUCUGCAAAAAGAAGAAAGUGCAGAUACGUUAGCUUCCUGGAAGCAGCAAGAGAAAUAAAACUAGUAGUGUUAACUAGUGUAAUCCGAGCAAGGAUGUUUGACACAUAGAGGAGAGGGAAGAAGGCUGGAAAGCAGCCUCUCUCUCCAUAACCUUCUACUCCAAGGCACCUCUCAAGGCCUGGGGAGAGAGUGAAGCUUGUUCCAGAGCUCCAGGGAAGCUGGUUCCUGACUCAGGUUCGGUGUCCCGUGAAGGCUACUUUGUUUUUGAUCCCUGGUUAGGAAGCCACGAGGCAGAAAGAUACUUGGAUGUAACUGGAUGCUUGUAUUUCUUUACAUAUUGUGAUUUAUUGCAAGUUGAUGUAAAUAUUUUAUGCAAUUAUUAGUAACCAAAGACGAAUUGCUAUUUAUGCUUUAUGUUAACAAAAACAUUCUUGUUUCUAGGAAUAGUAUAAAGGGCUGGAUCUUGUAUGUGUAUGAAUCUGGGAAAACCUUAAGAAUUGAGACAUCUUAGUCUUAUCCCUAAGCAUCACCACAAAAUGAGAUUGAGCUUGGUAGGAAAUCACCGUCCUUAAUAAGGAAGGCAAGAUCUGUCCCUUGAGCUCAGAUUGGUGACUAUGAAAUGAUAACUGCAUAACUGCCAGGCAGGGAGGGGACGGCCUCCCCAUGGAGGGCCCGAAAGAGUUAACUGCAUCCCCACAUGCCCCUCCCUUGCUUCCCCAGCUCAGGGAUCUUACUGGAUAGGGCUGGACUUGUCAGGAGAACAAGAACUUGCAGUUCAACUAGGAACUUGGACUUCCCGCACAGAAAAAGUUAAAAAAACUUGCAGGAAUGGGGAAACCUGAAAAUAAAAAGAACAAAACAAAACAAAACAAAGCAGGGUUUGUACUAGUUCAUUAGAUGCCUACGUACAUGUUUGCCUGGCGAUAAAGGGGAUUUGAGGACAUAGGGAAGGGCAAACAGAAAAUGAAAAUAAAGCCAAUUGGCUGGGCUUAUUGUCAUACACUUCCAGGGCACUUGAAGGGGAACGUCUGCGGACAAACUUAUGUUUGGGGGGCCUGGGAGGCACUGAGGGCAGCAGCCUCCACCAGACCCCUAUAGGUAUUCUGUGUCUAGGGAGAUGCUUCCUCUGGGGCCCUCAGGAGAAACUCCUUUGGGUUUUUUUUUUUUUUUUUUCCAAAACUUCAGGCACGACCCUGCAAAGGGAAGGAAUGAUGGAGGUGGCAGAACACGAUUGCUUUCUGUUGAGAAGCGUGUGUGCCUCCAGGCACAGGUGGAUCUACUUUAGCCUCCUUAGACCACAAAAUAAUAUUUCUCCAGAUUGGAUGAAUGCAGGGGCUACCCAAAAGAUUGAACACUCAGCAUUCACACAUUGCUCAUUCAUUCAAUACCUGUGAGCCACAGCUCCAAGUCCGUGGCACCUGAUCCCUUGACACAUGGGACUUCUCUUGCAACACAAAUUAAUAGAUAAAAUGAAGAAUUUCAAGCUGGUGGCUACAGAGUAUUAAACCCCAAGCCACUGAGCAAGGGGCUUUGUGUGAUGUUCUGGUGUUCUGCAAUAAGUCUUUCUAAAAAUGUUAUAAUAUUUAAGUACACUUAGUUUUUGGUAUUUGUAAACAAAACUCUAAGUAAUACAGAAAUUAGUACCAGUCAGUGCUACCCAGAGCAUAGGUAAACUGGGGAAUUAGGCCCGGUUGGGACAAAAAGCAAUAAAAAUAUUAAAUAGUGAUAAUUUACCAAUUCAUGGCUUGUAGCCCAGAAACAAUGAAUUGAAAUACUGCCUGUGGUUACUUAGAAUGCGGUGCUCAUUGCAGCAAGGUUUUGGGAAACUGAGUGGACACUGUUUUGUGAAAGCAUAAAUGACGGGAGGAAAUCAAGGAAGAUACAGGGGCGUGGCUGCUUCUGGGUAGCAUAAGGAAAGAUGAUGGUCAGAUCCAAUUCCUACAUUCUUUGCUCAAGGCACAUAAGGAAGCUCAAGCACUUUCUGUGACCUUGUUAAGAGAAUCUCUCAUGUCUUGCAGGCACAGGGCUCCGAUAAAAACAAUUUCACAGUUUGAUCCUAUGGGCUGCCAAUUUACAACAGUUGAAUUCACAACCUCGUGAGGUGUCGUAUGUGAGAGUGAGGGCAUGGUUAGGAGUGGCUGGGAAGCUGAGAAUUGGAUGAGGCUGUAUAGGAGCGCUAACAACAUUUGGAGCCAUUCCUGUUACCGUCAGCAGAGGCAGACUCUCCUUCUUCCUUACUUGAUAAGUCUGUUAAGCUUUGCCUGAAAGCCCUAUAACUCCUUUGAUGAGUCAAUUCUCUUCAUGUCUCAUCCCAAUUACCCACAAGUAUCUCCUGACCUAUAGCUAUAAACAGAUCCUAGCAUACUCCAAAGAGUGAAUAACAAAUCAAAGCCAGAAGUCUUACACACCCUUCCUAAUUUGCAGUAGGUACGUCUGAAUACCAGGCAAAAGAAUAGCUUCUGAGUGUCUCAGAUUAAGAAGAAAAGAAUAUAUUUUUAAGAUUAGAAUAAAUGUAUGAAUAUAGGCUCACUUACCAUUUAUUCUGAAUUCAAUAUGCAGGACUUAACACCUGAACUUGAUUUCAAUUAUGUUUUGGGUUGAUAUAUUGAGAUCUGGACUAAAUGGUGCCUCAAGUAAAAUAAAGUUUAUAUGCCAACAAUUCUUUGGUCUACUGCAGAAAUAAAGAAUCUGAAUAAUUUGAGAGAUGAAAAUGGUGGAGUAGAUUUAUUACUGCGUGAUGCCUAUGAAUUUCUUAAUUCUGUAAUCUAAAAUCAUUCCAUUCACCAAGACAUUAAUCAGUCCAUUAGUGAGAAAAAGGCCAGAAUUUUUAAUCAAAGCUUUAGAGGUUGUUUUUUUAGGAGGAGUACUGAUGAGACACACUGCUAUGGAAGUGUGCUUCCCAAUUUCAAUGGAUUUGGGAAGAUCCCAGCAUGGAAAAGGUCAAAUAGUAGCUCUUACUCAUCACACGGAUAAUGUUGAUCACCAAAGAAGAUGUGGUUAUCAUAAUAGACAGCAUGGGCUGCAUAUUUAUUAGAAUUAUUAGAAUGGUCUCAAGUGUAGUUUUUUUGUUUUGUUUUGUUUUUUUGUUCGUUCGUUUGUUUGUUUUUGAGACAGAGUCUCGCUCUGUCACCCAGGCUGGAGUGCAGUGGUGCUAUCUUGGCUCACUGCAAGCUCCGCCUCCCAGGUUCACACCAUUCUCCUGCCUCAGCCUCCCGAGUAGCUGGAACUACAGGCACCCAUCACCACGCCCGGCUAAUUUUUUGUAUUUUUAGUAGAGACGGGGUUUUGCUGUGUUAGACAAGAUGGUCUUGAUCUCCUGACCUCGUGAUCCACCCGCCUCAGCCUCCCAAAGUGCUGGGAUUACAGGCGUGAGCCACCACGCCUGGCCAACUACAGGGAUUUUAAGUGAUGGCUAACUCCUCAUGAUGUAACCAGUGCCAAAAGAGCUAGGUAGCCCAUCUAAGUACAACUGGACUUCAGUAACUUACAAACAGCAGCUCUGCAGACAGAGGCUGGGCUUGGACUCCACAAUGAAAGUCAUGAUCCCUUACUCAAGUUCCAGACAUGAAACAGUUGACCAGCACAGAGCCUCUUGAAUGAAGAAGUUGAUUGCCCUGAAAGAAGGACCUUAUGAUAAUACGAUACAAUAUAUGCUAUAAGUCUUCUUAGCCUUCACCAAAGAAGACUGCAUCCAUGAAGUAGGGUAAAAGUGUCCGGGGAAAUGUAAAUACCCAGAUGUGUGGGUAAUUUGUCUCCAUGCCUAAAUCAAACUGCUUCCUGCAAGCCUGCUGCUGGAGCUGCUCGGGCCAUAGGAAUGGUCCAUGGGGCUCCUCAGUGCCCUCCCUCAGUCUCUACCAUGGUCUAACAGACCCACACAGGUUUACUCUCACUCUCCCCUAGUAAUGGUCCCCUAUGAGAGGACAUCCCCAUUACAAGGCAAGGAAACAAGUUAGCCUCUCUCUCUCUCUCUCUAAUCCUUGAAUUGGCAGCAAAGCCUCCUCAAAGUAACCACAGAAAGCAAAGCAGAGGGAGACUUGCUGCCCAUGGCACCUCUCAGAUCCCUUCCUUGCAUCUCUAGAGAACCUUAAAGCAAUCUUCUUUCAGACGACCAAAGCAAUCUUCUUUCAGACGACCAAAUUAGAUUUCAUGGAAUUGUGUCAUAGGAGCCACUGGUCCCAAAAUCCCUUGGAAUAUUAGAAAUUGUGUUAUGGCUACGAGUUAUGGUCACCACUGAUAUUUUCAAUGUGGGUCACCUGACAGUAGACAGAGACAGCUGAUAGUGAAUCUACUGAUUGGACCCAGUUCAUAGUUCUGAAGUAAAAGAUGACUGAUGAUUAAAACAAAUAUUUAACAUAAUAAUACUUAUGUUAAAACAUACUAGCAGGCCUGGUGUGGCGGCUCACACCUAUAAUCCCAGCACUUUGGAAGGCCAAGGUGGGCAGAUCACCUGAGGUCAGGAGUUCUAGUCCAGCCUGGCCAACAUGGCGAAACCCCAGCUCUACUAAAAAUACAAAAUUAGCCGAGCAUGGUGGCGCACACCUGUAAUGCCAACUACUCGGGAGGCUGAGGCAGGAGAAUCACUUGAAUCCAGGAGGUGGAGGUUGCAGUGAGCUGAGAUGGCACCACUGCACACCAGCCUGGGCAACAAAGCAAGACACCAUCUCAAAAACAACAACAACAACAAAAAAAAACAAAAAAAACUGGCAGACUGGGCCCCUGCUGGAAUAUACAGGCUUGCAUAUGGUUUUCUCCUUCAUAACUGUAAAGAUCAAAACAAUAGCAAUCAUAAUAAACUAAGGAGACCUUGGGUUAAACAGAUCAUUACAGUUGACAAUAGAGGUGUAAACAUGACCCUGAUUAAUGGAUCUAUAAUCUGUCUUCCAAGUUUCUGGCCAUUAGCCAUGCUUCUAAUUAAACUGAGUGUGGGAGCAGCAUUCCAUCUCCUGAGGGGCUGGUGCAGCGACAUUCUGAAUUCCUGACCACCCCAGGCUUGACUUUGCAGCCUCUGUUUUGUUACCUGUUGAAAUUCAAAUAAGACUUCACUUGUUAACAAGACCCUCCUUUAAAACAUCUCUAGCCUUUGAUCAAUCUUUCUUUUUAUUCUGCAGGAAUCUAAAGAAGUUGGAAUGGAAAGCAAAAGAACACUGCCAUAUUUUUACCAGGUGGCCCCACCACGCGCUACACAGACCAAGAGAGUGAACAUGUCCUUGUUCUUAAAGAGCUCACAAAUGAAUAUCUUUUUUUUUCCCUGAGACUGAUUCUUGCUCUGUCACCCAGGCUAGAGUGCAGUGGCGCGAUCUUGGCUCACUGCAAUCUCCACCUCCCGGGUUCAAGCAAUUCUCCUGCCUUGGCCUCCCAAGUAGCUGGGAUGACAGGCGCGAGCCACCAUGCCUGGUUAUUUUUUUUUUUUUUUUGUAUUUUUAGUAGAGACGGGAUUUCACCAUCUUGGCCUGGCUGGUCUUGAACUCCUGACCUCGUGAUCUUCCCACCGCAACCUCCCAAGGUGCUGGGAUUAUAGGCGUGAGCCGCCGUGCCUGGCCUGAAUAUUCUUAAACAAGGAGUGAAACAGAAAUAGUGUGUUCCUGUAUUUCAGAAUGACAAAGGAAACCAGGAACACUUGCAGGUUAAUAAGUCCAUCCCCCUGUCUCAGAGCAGAGUUCUCUGCUGAAAGGGCUACAGACUGACACCUUCUGUUUGAGGUCCACCCUAAUCGAAGUCCAUCUCUGGACUUUCAACCUGAAGUUCCGGUGCUGUUUCAGGCUCCAUGAACCAUGUGUGAUCAAAACACUCUAAGGAAUUAGUGGUUUUCUCACAUGCACUCCUUGACAUCUGUUCUUUAGCCUGCCAGCCAUAUUUGAUGCUAAGGGAGAAAGAGAGAGCUGUCUCCCAAACAGAAUCCUUUGCCAUACAUCUAUCGUGUAGUGUUGACAGUCCUUCUUGCAGUGUGGUGCGGGGGCAAUGAUAUCUCUGUAAAAAUUCUCACUAGGAUCCAAUGAUUUAUUUAGCUAACAGCUAAGUUAAUUAUGUCAGUUUGACAAUUUCAAGAGGGAAGGAAAAACACACAUGGGCUGGAUGAGGAGAUUGUCUCCGUAAUAUUUUAUACCAGGACAUGGUUAGGAAACCCAAUGAUUUCUUGGUACAAAUCUCUAAGCGAUCAAACAUUCCCCUAUAAUCAAGACCAUCACUAAGUUUUAAAAGAAAUAUAUUUUCCCCCACAACUGAAACGGGUGAAGUAAGGCAAAAACACCAAGCGAAAAAUAAGCAUUCGGUUUUCAAGUAAUGGACUGUUUCCUCUGGAAGGAGAAGGGAAUCUGGGUGUCUGGAUCCCGGUUUCUGCUCUGCUUCUUAGUGGCCCUCUCUUCACCUUAGCUUUCUCAUCUGUACAGCAAAGGAUUGGCCAAGCAGGCAUCUAAGCCCUUACAGUUAUUGCCUGCCAGGAUGCCAUAUGAUCAUGGAUGUUCAGUUUUCAGGACUCUGGGACAAGGAGUGGAGUCAGGUGAACACUGGGACUAAGCAGACAUCACAGGUUCUCUGCCUCAGAGCCAAAGCCACAUUCCCCGCCCUGGUCAGAGAAGGCCUUCCUUGUUUCUUAUAGCAUUAAUCUCAGUACCUCUAUGCUAUUCAAAGGCUCAACUAUUGCAUUUUCUUUACACAAAAUUCUUACUGAUCUCUUUCUCCCAUAGGUCUUGAAGCUAAGUACAGAUUUAUUCAUCCUUUCUAUGCAUAUUUUUGAGCACCUGCUAUAGGAAAAACACUGUUUCCAGUACUAGGGAUAUAGGGCAAACAAAACAAUCUCUGCUGUCAUAGAGAUACCUGCUGGAGCUUUGAUAGCUUUCUGCAUGAGAAAUGGGCUAGGUAGGAUUCUCACAUUAGGGAUGAGAAAAGGAGGAACCGUGGGCAGACAAUUUCAGCACUCUGGAGAUGCAAGACAAAAACAAAGUCUGCAAACAGACUAGAAUAGAAUAGCUUAUAAAAGGACAUUGUGAGCUGGGAGCGGUGGCUCACACCUGUAAUCCCAGCACUUUGGGAGGCUGAAGUGGGCAGAUCACUCAAGGCCAGGAGUUUGAGACCAGCCUGGCCAACAUGACAAAACCCUGUCUCUACUAAAAAAAAAUACAAAAAUUAGCCAGGUGGCACAUGCCUGUAAUCCCAGCCACUGGGUAGGCUAAGACACAAGAAUCGCUUGAACCCAGGAGGUGGAGGUUGUAGUGAGCCGAGAUCACAGCAAUCACUGCAGCCUAAGGGAAAGAGUGAAACUCUGUGUCCAAAAAAAAAAAAAAAAAAAGAAGAAAGAAAAAAGAAAAAAAGGACAUUGUGACAGAACAGUGUUUGCAUAAUACCUUAGUUUCUUCUGCAACUAAGAAGUAACAUUUACAGGACAGUCUAGGAUGGAGAAAUCCCUUCUACAAAUUUCCUAUCAUUUUCUUUAACAAAAACCUGUCAAGGUAUUAUUAUUGCCUUUUUAAUCAAUGAAGUUGAUGAAUACUCAGAAAGUUUUACGUGACCAGCCUGAGAUAACUAUUAAAUGGCAGUGAUGAGACUGACUCUGGUGUUUACUUCAAAUCUCACUCUUUCCAUCAUGAUAAAACUGCUCUCAACAUUUCUUAUUCCAUUUUUGUUUCUGAAAGAUGGUUUUAGUGAACUGAAGCUUGCCAAAACCUCAUUCUGACUACAAAUCAUGGAGCCUCCCCCAUGAACUUACCAACUGCUUCCAGAGUUACUUCUUAAAUCUUGUUUUAGCCAUUAAAUUUUGGUCUGAUAAAUAAGGCAGUCAUUUUAACUAUGUAAGAAGAAUGAAAAUAGGGGGAAAAUGACUAACCCCUCCUACAUUUUCCCUGUCAACGGGGAAAGAACAAGUCAGGACUGGAUUUAAACGUACGUCCAUGGUUUAAGGAUGAGGAGUUUGGGGAAUCGUCUUUAGGUUCAUAAAAGAUGCCUCAUUUCACUUUCACUGAGAGAAUGAAAGAAGAUGGGAGUGUUGAGCUUGUAACACAAGGAAUUUAAAUUAAAGGCAUAACAGAACUUCAAAACAGUAAGAGACAUCAUUCACUGGAAUGGAAGGACGCUUCAGAAACAUGUGGAUUCCUCUUCUCUUGCCAUGUGAUUCUCCUAGGAGGCUUCGAGUGGAGGAUAGGGGUGAUGACUGAAAUGAUUUCAGAAGGUUCCAUCCAGUCUUCACUGUGUAGUUUCAGUUGGUACAGUAGAAAGAGUAAUGGACAAGGAUGCAGGUGUCUGGGUUCUCCAGGGCUCUGUCACUCUCUAGCUGGGCACCCUCCGACAGAACAUUUAACUCCUCUGAGCCUUAGUUUUGUUACCUUAAUCAUAAAAUGGGACUAGUGGAUCUUGGUCUAACCUCCCUGACAGAUGAUGAUGAAAAGCCCUUGAGAUAACCUUUACUAUAUGUAAGUUCAUGAGGGCAAACUUCUUUAUUUUUAUUACUAUGAUAUUCCAAGAGUGUGCUUGGGAAUAUGUACUCCACCUGGUACAUGGCAAGCAUUCAAUAAGGGUUUGGUGAAUAGAUGUAUAAACAACUGAUGUAAAAAUACUUUGCAAUGUGGAAAGAAUGGAAAUGGGAAGUAUCACAGGUAUAUCAAUUGCCUGUGGUGACUAUUCCAGUGUGUAACCCCAUUACCUCUUUCACCUUCAUACCAUCCCGUGCCCGCCCCUAUGAGUCAGCAUGAGCUCAGAAGGGACAAACUGAUAAUGUUGAUCUCUAUCAAACAAAAUCAAGCUGGUGGCUACAGGAAGCAUAUCAUGAUACUUGGUGAAAAUUGAAGUUACAGAUGCUAUUGGUGGCUUCUUUUUUGGAAGUUUCUAUUUUCCUUGGGCCUUGUUGAAGGGAGUAUAGAGAACCUACCUGUUGUUUUAUCUGAACUUAACAGGGACGUGGGCAUACAGACCAGGAGGAAGGCUCUCCAAGCCCAUCUUUGAUGAAAGCCCUUCUGACAGAUUAUCUGUAAUUCCUUGACAGGGCAGUGAGUUGCUGUCCCAACUGACUGCAGGCAGUUAUGAUCAGAUAAUUGAAUUGGCGCAUGCCCCUGUGUAAUCGAAAAAAGUUGGCACCCAUCUCUCAACUUGAUAUUAACUUAGCGUUUUUCCAGACAACCUCCCUGCCCCAUCACAGAGUUGCCUCUCAAAUAUAAAUGUCAAGUAAGGCAGCAGAAAUUAAUUUUAUAUGCUUUGUGGGCACUAGGUAAUACUCAGAAGGCUAACAAUGGAAGAACAGAAUUAUAAAAGAAUUGGGAAUGAAUAUGCUUUAUAGACCCUGGCACAUUGCCCAGGGCAGUAGAGUAAGUGGGAGAAGAAAACGCUGGUGAUUGGGGUGAGUAGUCAGCUUUCUUUUCAGCAUGAGUGGUUUUUAGAACAACCAGAAUGUUCCCUUUUAAAGACAGCAUACACGCUUUUGAUUCCUAGGCCUACCUCCAAGACACCAGGACGCUCAAGUCUUCUGAUGUCCAGGUACCCAGUUGAUGGUGGUAGCAAUAGAUUUUGUUCUGGCAAUUGUAGUGUUCUCCACAUGAAGAAUAAAGAUGGGAGCACCUAAUUGGUAUUCUGCCUGCACUGAACAUUUUAGCUUGUAGUUCAGUGGGUUGCUCUGAAAUUACAUUGCCUAUGUCUGAAUUCCACUUUUGCCAUUUAGUGGCUGUGCAACCUUAGGCAGCUUACUUAAUUUCCAUGUGCCUUAGUUUUCAUAUCCAUAAACUACAAAUAAUACUAGCACCUAUUUCAUAGAGUGGUUGAAAGGGUUCAACCAGCUGACUCAUGAAAAGCAUGUAGAAAAUUGUCUGGCACAUGAUAAGUACUCAGCUAACAUUGGUUGUACAAAUUAUAUUGUCAAUUAAAAAUGUAUGCAAUUUGAACUUUCCAACUUUAGAUUAGGGAUGGCUAUCUUUCCCAACUUUUUUCUUUCUCCAUUAGUGUUGAGAGAUUUUAAUGCUUCUGUGAUUCUAUAACCCUAUCUCUACGUUUAGAUCUCGACUUCCAUCAAUAAGAGGUAGAGUUAGAAAAGUACCUGGGACUGAAAGUUCUGAGUUUGUGUGCCAACUCAGCCAGUAACUAGCUGGAUGACUCUAGGGUAAGGUCACUUUCCCUCCUGCAGUCUCACUUGUUUAUUUUCAAAUGAGGGGAUUGGACCACUUGACCUCUAGAGAUGCUUCUAGUCCCAACAUUCAAGAAAUCUGCUACUCCCAUGGAAGCUCAGGGACCCUCAUACCUAAAUCCUUAGGUGACCUAGUUUGGCUUCUACUCUGUGUUGAAUACCAGUGGCACAUCACCAAUCCUCCUUUCCCAAGUACAUUUUCACCAUACUUUCUGCCUCCCACUCCUCCUACUCCUCCUCUGUCACUUAGCAACUUGGGGUCCCAGCAUGAGUAAGUGGGAGGAACUGGAAUUUCCAGAGUCCAACUAGCUGCAAACUUCCCCUUCUAGUUCCCUAGGUCACCCUCACAUUUCUUGCAGCUUCUCAAGGUCCCUGGUCUUUUUACUUCCAGAACAUCUUGUCAACGGAAGACGCUCUACAGAAUGAGCAGUCACAUGUGAAUGGGUCUGUCUCAUGUAGUCAUGGAGCUAUCAUUUUCCCCUUAGUUUAUCAUCAAGUCAACUGGAAGUUGAAGUCCCAAUAUUAUAGGCAACCAGCAUGUGCUUCUACCCUGUACAUGGUCUUAAAAGUCAGGACAUAUAUGAAAUUGUGAUACGAUAUCAUUCCUAACUUAAGACCCUGAUGCAGAGGAAUAAUAUAUGGCCAUGAUGAUUCCUCAAGGAUCUAGAACCAGAAAUACCAUUUGACCCAGCAAUCCCAUUACUGGGUAUAUGCUCAAAGGAUUAUAAAUCAUUCUACUAUAAAGACACACGCACAUGUAUGUUUAUUGCAGCACUAUUCACAAUAGCAAAGUCUUGGAACCAACCCAAAUGCCCAUCAAUGAUAGACUGGAUAGAGAAAAUGUGGCACAUAUACACCAUGGAAUACUAUGCAGCCAUUAAAAAGGAUGAGUUCAUGUCCUUUGCAGGGACAUGGAUGAAGCUGGAAACCAUCAUCCUCAGCAAACUAACACAAGCAACUAAACACCCUCAAUCUGGGUGGGCAUCACCUAAUCAGCAGCCAGUGCAGCUAGGAUAAGGAGGCAGGAGAAGGCGGAAUAGCAGACUUGCUGGGUCUUCCAGGCUCCAUCUUUCUCCCGUGCUGGAUGCUUCCUGCCUUCAAACAUCAGACUCCAGGUUUUUCAGCUUUUGGAUUCUUGGACUUACACCAGUGAUUUGCCAGGGGCUCUUCGGCCUUUGCCCAAAGACUGAAGGCUGCACUGUCAGCUUCCCUACUUCUGAGGUUUUGGGACUUGCACUGACUUCCUUGCUCCUCAGCUUGUAGAUGGUCUAUGUUGGGACUUCACCUUGUGAUCGUGUGAGUCAAUUUUUCUAAUAAACUCCCCUUCCUAUAUACAUAUAUCCUAUUAAUUCUGUUCCUUCAGAGAGCCCUGACUAAUACACUACCCAAAGGAAAAGAAGUCAUUUUAUGAAAAAGGCACCUGCACACACAUGUUUAUGGCAGCCCAAUUCACAAUUGCAAAGAUACGGAAGCAACCUAAGUCCACAUCGAUCAGUGAGUGGAUAAAGAAAAUGUAGUAUAUAUCCACCAUGGAACACUACUUAGCCAUAAAGAGGAAGAAAGUAAUGUCUUUUGCAGCAACUUGGAUGGAGCUGCAGGUCAUUAUUCUAAGUAAAGUAACCCAGGAAUGGAAACCCAAAUACUGUACAUUCUUACUUAUAAGUGGGAACUAAGCUAUAGGGAAGCAAAAACAUAUACAGUGAUAUAAAGGACUGUGGGAACUUGGCGGAGAAGUUGAGAGGAGGGUGAGAGAUAAAAGACUACAUAUUAGGUACAGUGUACACUGUUUGGGUGAUGGGUGCACUAAAAUCUCAGAAUUCACCAGUAAAGAACUCAUCCACCCUAAAAACUAUUGAAAUAAAAAAUAAUAAUAUAAAGAAAAAUAAAAUAAAUAAUAAUAAACUAUUGUUACAAUAGCUUGGGUGAAUCUCAAAGGCAUAAUGCUGAGUGAAAGAAGCUAGUUUCAGAAAAUUACAUGCUGUAUAAAUUCAUUCAUAUGACAUCCUCAAAAAGAUAAAACUAUAGUAAUAGAGAAAAGAUCAUUGGUUGCCGGGGUUAGAAAUAUGGAGAGAGUAUGACUACAAAGGGAGUAGUAGCAUGAAGGAGUUCUUUGGGGUCAUGGAACUGUACUGUAUUCUGAUAAUAGUAGUGGUUACAUGAUCCUACAUAUAUGUUAAAGCUCAUGGAGCUAUAAAACCCCCGAAAGUCAAUUUUGCUAUAUUUUAAUUUUUAAAGAAAGGAACAUAGAGCUAUUUUGAGAAAAAUAAAGACAUGAAAGGAUAGCCCAAGAGAGUCCAGUAGAAGAAGCAGAGGCAAAGUUUUCCUUGGCUCUUGGUUAUGGGCUGUCUGCUGAAUAUGAGUCUUGGAUCUUUUUCAGCAUCAACUUGCAGAAGCUAUGCCUUUCCACCCUUGCCCUUGUAGCUUCUCUGAGUCCAGGUCUCCCCACUCCCAUGCCAAUGGACCCUUCAUAAUGGGGAAGGCAUCACAGCAAGACGCAGGCUUGGGGCUUUCCCAAUGACCAGGUUCUCAUUAAGUGCCAUCUCACCAUCAACCAGCGACAGCAAUGUCCCUCUUGCCCAAGCUCCUCCCUUCCCUGCACUCUGGUUGCCCUCUAAAUGGCACCAGCCCAAACCAGGGACAGUCACUCGUCCACUCACUUCCCAAAUAUUUACAGAGCGCCUGUUGGGUGCCAGGCUCCUCCAGGGGCCCUGCUGCCAGGCCGAAGCCCACGGCGGCAUAUUCUGGAGAGCCCGGCUGUUGGAGCAGCUGUCCUCUCAAGAACCAGCACUGGCAUGUCCUGUCCCAGAGGACCCAGGUCGUUAUCUCAUUUCCCAUCUUUGCAGAUUUUAAAUGCUUUCCAACACUUCACCCCUUUCUCAGAUGAAGAUUUAAACAUAGGCGGGUGGACAUCCAAUAUGGUAAUAUUUUUCUGUUGAUUCAUCAACCUCCACAGGCACUUGCUUCCUUGAUUCUCUGACCUUAUUCAGUUGGUACUUUCAGUGUGACAACUUUUCUCAACUCACUGGCAGAAAAAAUCAUUCUCGUCCUGUUUCCAGAGGUGCAACAGGAGGUUGGCAAGAGUAAGUCUUAAAGAACAGCAGUGAUGCCUGCUAGGGCCCUGACAGAUUGGCAAUAGAACUGGGGCUAGAGUCUACACCGCAAGAGCUCCCGUGCGUUUCCACAGUCAAACAACCCAGAAUGCUGAACAUCUUACAAUCUGAAGAAUUUGUCCAAAAACCAGACAGAAAUGGAGGAAGCUCUCUCCCAAGUAUCUGCAUAAGCAACGUAGGGCAGAAACACUUUCAAAACUCUGUCGUGUCCUGGGGGCAAGAGAUGUUUUUGAUAGAUGUUGCGAUGACAGCAGUUCACAGCAGCCCCACAUUCAGGGAACUGUUCCAGCGCGCCAGAGGUUGGGAGGCUUUUAACUCUCUUCAUUCAUCCUCACACACGCCAGCUAAGCGAAAGCAACGUGAAGGAGCUGACAAACCACAAAGACCAGGAAAUGCAGAGUAAAUGCUGAUCGGAAGAGCAGUAGAAGGUAAAUGGGUAUCAAAAUAUAAUCUGGGAGUGCGGGCUGGCCUUAGGAUGCUUGAAAGCUGUUCUGAUGACUUCCCAGCACACGCGGAGGAGACCAGCCCGCAGGUGCCAGGAGCGGGAAGGGAAGCAAAUGUACACCCUUGUGCACUUGCCCAGUGCACACCGCAAAUGUGCUGUCCCUGGUGCGGUGUGCAGCAAGGCUGGCCUAAUGCUAAACUUUGGUCAGAGCUUUGCUGAGUGAGAACGCCAGUUCCAACCCUCAAUGUGACACUUUAUUAAUUAAGUGAGGGAUUUACAGCAAUAACUGAUAAUCAAAUGGAACAAUUGUAACAAUAUACUGCAAUACAAGUUUUGUGAUUGUGGUCUCUACCUUGCUGUACUGUGCUCAC